rnacentral:rRNA from 1 species
UACGUAGGGUGCGAGCGUUAAUCGGAAUUACUGGGCGUAAAGCGUGCGCAGGCGGUUCGUUGUGUCUGAUGUGAAAGCCCCGGGCUCAACUUGGGAAUGGCAUUGGAAACUGGCGAGCUAGAGUGUGGCAGAGGGGGGUGGAAUUCCGCGUGUAGCAGUGAAAUGCGUAGAGAUGCGGAGGAACACCGAUGGCGAAGGCAGCCCCCUGGGUUGACACUGACGCUCAGGCACGAAAGCGUGGGGAGCAAAC